GAAAGUGAAAGGGGGGCGUCCCGGGGCUUGCUCCGGUCGGCGCCCUCCGGGGCCGAUCCCCGACGGUUCGUCGCCGCCGGUGUCAUCCCACACCAAAGCGGGGCCGAUGCGGGAGCGGCGCGGGGUGAGACCCUUUCCCCCGUUGUCCGACUCCCGGCCCCGUGGGUACCCGGUGCGCGCGGCAGUCCGGCGGCUGCUCUUUCUCCCUUCCUCUCGGGGGAGGGAGGAGGCGGCCGCCGCUUGUACGCAGGGGGGCGCAGGCCCGGGACUUGCCAUGCGACGCCGUCGCGCAAAUCUGUUGUUGGCCUCGCCGGCUUUGCUUGGGCUCUCGGUUGGCGGGCCGCGCGUCAGACGAGCUUUA
rnacentral:rRNA from 2 species